rnacentral:rRNA from 1 species
AGGAUAGCCAUUGGAAACGAUGGAUAAAACUGGAUAGGAUAUAGAGGAAGAAUCUUUUAUAUUUAAAAGAGAGAUCUGCUUAAGGAGGGGCCUGUGGCGCAUUAGCUAGUUGGUGGGGUAAGGGCCUACCAAGGCGAUGAUGCGUAGCCGGACUGAGAGGUUGAACGGCCACAAUGGAACUGAGAACGGUCCAUACUCCUACGGGAGGCAGCAGUAGGGAAUUUUCGGCAAUGGGGGGAACCCUGACCGAGCAACGCCGCGUGAACGAGGAAGUUAUUCGUAAUGUAAAGUUCUUUUAUCAGGGAAGAAAGAGGAAUUUGACGGUACCUGAGGAAUAAGCUCCGGCUAACUACGUGCCAGCAGCCGCGGUAAUACGUAGGGAGCGAGCGUUAUCCGGAAUUAUUGGGCGUAAAGGGUGCGUAGAUGGCAUAGUAAGUCUUUUGUAAAAAUGCUGGGCUCAACCCAGUAGGGCAAAAGAUACUGCAAAGCUAGAGUAUGACAGAGGCAAGUGGAACUACAUGUGUAGCGGUAAAAUGCGUAAAUAUAUGUAAGAACACCAGUGGCGAAGGCGGCUUGCUGGGUCGAUACUGACAUUGAGGCACGAAAGCGUGGGAACAGACAGGAUUAGAUACCCUGGUAGUCCACGCCCUCCUCAAGGAGUACUGAGUGUUGGUGAGAAUCAGUGCUGAAG